UCUUGGUUGUCGGCACCAAU
rnacentral:siRNA from 1 species